UCCUCAGUCUAGGUGACGCGCAGUCGCCCCCCCAGGCAGCCCGGGCGGCAGCAGCAGCUGCGGCGGCUGCAGGGGCAGAUUCCCAGCGUUGGGGCGAAGGGGAGCAGGGGCUGCCUUCUGCGAGUGGCCGACUCCGAUCGCCCCCCUCCGGGAGGUGGGGGCUGAGAGCCAUCCUCGGUCACCGCCCCCCUCCCCACCGUGCACAGAAAGAGGAACUGGCAAGAGGUCUGUUUGCCUGGACCCAUCAACAGCCAGGAGACUAACCAACCACACUGAAAAUGUUCUGGGAUUUGUGGGGGAGGGGUUGGGAUGUAGAUGUUUGAAGCAAAUGUGUAUAAAUAAAUGAAUUGCUGAUAACUUAGUUUUUGACCUGGAGACUGGUAGAUUAAAGAAGCUCCAUGUUUCUGCUUCCUGGAGUUGGAGGUUUCUAUAGGCACUUUAUUUCUCCACUUUGAAAAUCUUGGGCUUGGCCCCAAUCUGGGGCUGCCCGGUCCCGUUUCGAUUACCAAUUUAAAUCUAUGGCUUGAACCUUUACGUUGAAAAAACCAUAUCCAUUCCCCUAAAAAAUAAAAAAAAAAAACCCGACACUUCUCAGAAGCCCUAACCUUUUUCUGGCUUUUGUUUUAUUGUUGCUGUCUAUUGAAGACUUUGAACAUGCCCCUUUAAUAAAUAUAUUAAAAUU